rnacentral:rRNA from 1 species
AGUGAACGCUGGCGGUAGGCCUAACACAUGCAAGUCGAACGGCAGCACAGUAAGAGCUUGCUCUUACGGGUGGCGAGUGGCGGACGGGUGAGGAAUACAUCGGAAUCUACUUUUUCGUGGGGGAUAACGUAGGGAAACUUACGCUAAUACCUCAUACGACCUACGGGUGAAAGCAGGGGAUCUUCGGACCUUGCGCGAUUGAAUGAGCCGAUGUCGGAUUAGCUAGUUGGCGGGGUAAAGGCCCACCAAGGCGACGAUCCGUAGCUGGUCUGAGAGGAUGAUCAGCCACACUGGAACUGAGACACGGUCCAGACUCCUACGGGAGGCAGCAGUGGGGAAUAUUGGACAAUGGGCGCAAGCCUGAUCCAGCCAUACCGCGUGGGUGAAGAAGGCCUUCGGGUUGUAAAGCCCUUUUGUUGGGAAAGAAAAGCAGCAUGUUAAUACCCCGCUGUUCUGACGGUACCCAAAGAAUAAGCACCGGCUAACUUCGUG